AUGUUCUCUCCAUCUCUACUGCUCCUGCUGGCAGCGUCUUCCUAUGUGCAUGGUGAGGAACUGACUCAGCCUGCUUCCAUGACAGUCCAGCCAGGCCAGAGUCUCUCCAUCCACUGCAAGGUUUCAUACUCAGUGACGGGCUAUGGUACAGCUUGGAUCCGACAACCUGCAGGAAAAACUCUGGAUUGGAUUAGAAUCAUCUAUUAUGAUGAGAGCACAGCUUCCAGUGAGAAACUGAAAAAUAAGUUCAGUAUCUCCAGAGACACUGCUACUAACACAAUAACAAUUCGAGGACAGAAUCUCCCGACUGAAGACACAGCUGUGUAUUACUGCGCUCGCUCUCCACAGUGA